AGUAGAUCAUCCCUUGGACUGAUCCGGACGCAAUUCCCGAUAUCCGGUACAAAUAAAAAGGGAAAAUCUACGAUGUCGUUUCGAGAGGGGUGAAACGAAGCUAUCUUCAAUUCUCUUCUUUGCCAAAUGCAACUUCUGAGAGGGAGCGACUGCUGACAGUGAGCAGUGACGGACGACUGACGCAGCUGCUGGUGCCCCAACGACGUUUGUAGCGGUGGCAACUUCUUUGCCAAAUGCAACUUCUGAGAGGGAGCGACUGCUGACAGUGAGCAGUGACGGACGACUGACGCAGCUGCUGGUGCCCCAACGACGUUUGUAGCGGUGACGGUAUUGCCAACAAUACAGCUUUACCACUAAUACCUUCGAAGAGCUAAAUAUACUGGUCAUCGGCAACAUGAUAUAGAGCUCCUCGUUGAUCUGGUGAGAUAGCAAUUCAAAAGACACAUGCAUGAGACAGAUCCAGAGAGGAUUCAAAAGUUGAAGGAUGAGUUUCUUGAAUAGAUUUGCACUUCUGUUACAGUUAUGUUGGGAAUAUAGUGGCAAUGGUGUCUAUGGCCAUCUUAUAUAUUCAAGUGCAUUUUACUGGGCUUUGUUGAUCCUCCAGUGCAUACUUUUUCAUUGUUUGUUUUUCCUGUUCUGUUUUGCAUGUUUAAUCAGAAAAGUUGGAUUUGGCCUCGGAUGUUUCAAAUAGAUGCACAGACACAUUAUUAAUCUGCUUCUUUUGAUUGGUGGAGGUGUUAGCAAAGGUUUAAUCUUUGUUUCCGUUGUUUUGCCAGCACAACAAGGGGACUUAUAAAUCACAUACUAUAUGAGUCUGAGAAGAUGUCUGGUCGUAAAUUCAACAAGACCUCUUGAUGUUCUUCGAAAGUUCUAUUUCGGGGUUCUUGUUUGCAGUAUCAGAUUACAUUUUGGUAAAAUUAAGUAAUAACGAUAGAGAUUUGAGUGGUACAGAGGACUUCUGUUUUAGUUUCAUGUCGCGGGUGUUGAGCUAUCAUAUUGAUUGAAAUCUGCAUUCUUGGAAGUAGACUUGCCUUUCUAUGUUGUUCAUUUUCCAUUUAAGAUGGCUAUCAUUCAUUAUAUCAAACUGAUCUACAUAUACUAACCAUAUGGUUUAUAUGUAAAAUUGGUGAAGCCUAGACUUCCAUCUUUUUGUUUGUGGUAUUUAUAGUCUUUUUUAGCGAUUACAAUUCUAUUGAUCAUGACUUAGAAUCAAUUUGACACCAUCAUCAAUGAUCAAAGUCAAAUGCAUAUUCAGUUCUGGACAUUCCUUCCCUUUAUCUGAUAAUUUGUGUUUGUAGUUAUGAACAUAGGUUAAAAAUUCAAGAGUUUCAGAUGUCGGGGAUUUGAACAAAUUAUACAAUUCAAAAGGUGAUCAUUUGAUACAAUGAAAAUAUCUUAAGUCUACACAAGAAAAUCCUUUAGUUUCAUGGUGGAAUUGUUCUGUUUGGCGAUGAAGACACAUUGGCGCAGGUGGUGAAAUAUUAGCUUCAGUUGAUAUAAAGCGCAAUAUUGGACGAAGGCUUUGAAACUUGAUUUGACCGUUCUCUAAUCUCCAUUCUCUAGUCUCUUCAACAUAAUGAGAAUAAUGUUUAGGGAGAAAGCAUAUGAUCAUGCUAAUUGGAAUUUUUGUUACACAAACUUGCGAGGUCUCAUGGAAGGUGGAUUUCUAUCUAGAUUUGCAUUGGGGUGAAGCAAGAACUGCCACUCUUGAGAUGACUAACCUCUUAUUUGCGAAAGAUACUCUUGUCAUUUGUGGAGCUAACUAAAAUCACAUUCAAGCUUUAAGGGUUCUCUUAUUUACUUCGAAUCAACAUCGGGCUUGAAAGUGAACUUGGUCAAGGUAGAACUAGUUCCAGCUGGAAAUAUUUCAAGUUUAUUGAGCUUGGCCAAUAUUUUGGGGUGCAAAGUUUCAACCUUGCCAAAGAAGUAUCUCAGUCUUCCCUUAGAUGUUCAUUUAGGUCGAAAUAUAUAUAGGAUGAGGUGUUGGAAAAAUGGAGCAUAAAUUGGCUAGCUGGAAGAUCAUGUACUUUUCCAAAGGUACUAUAGUUACUUUGAUUAAAAGUACUCUUUCAAAAUUCUCCACAUAUUUAUUAUUAUUAUUAUUAUUAUUCUCACUACCCUGUAAGGUGGUUCAUUAGUUAGAGAAAUUACAAGAUUUCUUAUGUGGAAAUGGAUGAAGAAGUUAAGUUCCAUUUGAUUGAUUGGGCCGUGGUUUUACUUGGAAGUGCGAAUGAGGAUUGGAAAUUCAAAACUGGUUUUCAAUAAGGCCUUAUUGGGUAAGUGGUUGCGAAGAUACCAAAAACAAAAGGGAGCUUUGUGGAGGGUUA